rnacentral:rRNA from 1 species
CCUACGGGAGGCAGCAGUGAGGAAUCUUGGACAAUGGACGAGAGCCUGAACCAGCAAAGUAGCGUGGAGGAUGACUGCCCUCUGGGUGGUAAACUUCUUUUAUAUGGGAAUAAAAUGUUCCACGUGUGGGAUUAUGUAUGUACCAUAUGAAUAAGGAUCGGCUAACUCCGUGCCAGCAGCCGCGGUAAUACGGAGUAUACGAGCGUUAUCCGGAUGUAUUGGGUUGAACGGGAGCGUAGGUGGAUUGUUAAGUCAGUUGUGAAAGUUUGCGGCUCAACCGGAGAAGUGCAGUUGAAACGGGCAGUCUUGAGUACAGUAGAGGUGGGUGGAACUCGUGGUGUAGCGGUGAAAUGCUUAGAUAUCACGAAGAACUCCGGUUGCGAAGGCAGCUCACUGGACUGCAACUGACACUGAGGCUCGAAAGUGUGGGUAUCAAACAGGAUUAGAUACCCUUGUAGUC